rnacentral:rRNA from 1 species
UACGGAGGAUGCGAGCGUUAUCCGGAUUUAUUGGGUUUAAAGGGUGCGUAGGCGGGCUUUUAAGUCAGCGGUAUAAAUUCGGGGCUCAACCCCGUCCGGCCGUUGAAACUGGGGGCCUUGAGUGGGCGAGAAGAAGGCGGAAUGCGUGGUGUAGCGGUGAAAUGCAUAGAUAUCACGCAGAACCCCGAUUGCGAAGGCAGCCUUCCGGCGCCCUACUGACGCUGAGGCACGAAAGUGCGGGGAUCGAACAGG